GACGAACGCUGGCGGCGUGCUUAACACAUGCAAGUCGAACGGACAUUAUUGCUAAGUUUACUUAGAGAUAAUGUUAGCGGCGGACGGGUGAGUAACACGUGGGCAACCUGCCCUGUACAGGGGGAUAACACUGGGAAACUAGUGCUAAUACCGCAUGAUACGCGAAGAUGGCAUCAUUUUUGCGUCAAAGGAGAAAUCCGGUACAGGAUGGGCCCGCGUCCGAUUAGCUAGUUGGUGAGGUAAUGGCUCACCAAGGCGACGAUCGGUAGCCGGAUUGAGAGGUUGAACGGCCACAUUGGGACUGAGACACGGCCCAGACUCCUACGGGAGGCAGCAGUGGGGAAUAUUGCACAAUGGGGGAAACCCUGAUGCAGCGACGCCGCGUGAAGGAAGAAGGUCUUCGGAUUGUAAACUUCUUUGAUUGGGGACGAAAUAUGACGGUACCCAAGGAACAAGCCACGGCUAACUACGUG
rnacentral:rRNA from 1 species